rnacentral:tRNA from 1 species
AGAGAGAUGGCUCAGCGGUUAAAAGCACUGACUGAUCUUCCAGAGGUCCUAAGUUCAAUUCACAGUAACUCCA